GUGAUGAGGUAAACCGCGCCGAUGAGAUGUGAUAUGAGAGUCCACAGCUGA
rnacentral:snoRNA from 1 species